CUCUAGGGGUGUCUAUGAGUAUAGGCUGAGAAGGAAUCGCGUUGAAGAUUCCUGACCCUUGAACCUGAUCUGGCUCAUACCAGCGGAGGAAAGAGCAUG
rnacentral:ncRNA from 1 species